GCUCAUGCUCAGGACGAACGCUGGCGGUGCGCCUAACACAUGCAAGUCGAACGGAGCUUAGAGAGCUUGCUUUUUAAGCUUAGUGGCGAACGGGUGAGUAACGCGUGAGUAACCUGCCCUAGAGUGGGGGACAACAGUUGGAAACGACUGCUAAUACCGCAUAAGCCCACGGUACCGCAUGGUACUGAGGGAAAAGGAUUUAUUCGCUUUAGGAUGGACUCGCGUCCAAUUAGCUAGUUGGUGAGGUAACCGG
rnacentral:rRNA from 1 species